GACGAACGCUGGCGGCGUGCUUAACACAUGCAAGUCGAACGGAAAGGCCCUGCUUGCAGGGUCCUCGCGUGGCGAACGGGUGAGUAACACGUGGGUGAUCUGCCCUGCACUUCGGGAUAAGCCUGGGAAACUGGGACUAAUACCGGAUAGGUGCCAUUACUAGAGAGAUGGAUGGAGAGGCUUUUCGGUGUAGGAUGAGCUCGCGGCCUGUCAGCUUGUUGGUGGGGUAAUGGCCUACCAAGGCGGCGACGGGCAGCCGGCCCGAGAGGGUGGACGGCCACAUUGGGACUGAGAUACGGCACAGCCUCCUACGCGAGGCAGCGGUGGGGAAUAUGGCACAAUGGGCGCAAGCCUGCUGCAGCGACGCCGCGUGGGGGAUGACGGCCUUCGGGUUGUAAACUCCUUUCGCUAGAGACGAAGCUUUUUGUGACGGUACCUAGAUAAGAAGCACCGGCUAACUACGU
rnacentral:rRNA from 1 species